rnacentral:lncRNA from 1 species
UCAAAUAGACAGACUAUAACCAAUUAAGAAGAAUUUGCAUUUUCUUCCUGAGAGAAAUGUAUUUGAAGCCAAAGCUUAGCCACAUUUAAGUGCAAUUGUAUAACCAAUUCAUAACAAACGUAAAAUUCACCAGAUGUGAUUAAUUUUCUUCUAUUCUAGAAAAAGUCUGGGGACUCCAGAAUAUUCAACACCAGCAACCCAGACAGGUUAUAUUAAUAAAAAACAAAAUAAUGAUUAAUCAUAAAAAGACUUUACGUGGAAGGCAUUUAAUAUUGGUAUUAAUCUUGUUGAUUCAAGAAAAGUACUCUAUCAGUAAUAUGAUUCAUAUGAUAAAAAUUUGAAAUAUAUUUCAGAAUUAAUGAUUAGUAAUAGAAACUGCAUGAGAAAGGUGCCUCAUGAAUGUGAUAUAUGUGGGAAGUGACAUUGCAUUUAAACUUGAGGAAACAUCUACUGAAAUUAAACCUCAUGAAUACAAUCAAAAUGGAAAGGAUAUCAGUCAUAAUGAAUACUGUGUUCAGCUUCAAAUUUUGGGGCCACACUAAGGAUUUAAUGAAUAUGGAAAAGACUUUUAUAAGGCAGACUCUGGCAGCCAAAAGAGAUCUCAUGUUGGGAGAGGGGGAAAAAAAAACGCUUUUUGAAUUUAAUGACUGUGAAAGCACUUUCUUCCAAAAGUCAGUUGUCAGGAUAUAUGAGAGAACUGAAAUAGAAAGUAAGCGCAUGAAAGCAAUGAACAUGGCAAUCCUGCACAGUGUCAAAAAAAUUAUAUCAAACAGCACAUACAGGGGAGAGCCUCUUUGAAUAUGGUUCAUUUGGGAAGACCUUUGGUUACUCAUCAACAAUUAUUAUACAUCAAAGAAGUCAAUCAAAGUAGACAUCUCAUGAUUAUCCUCAGUGUAUGAAAACUAUAAUUGAACCAUCACAUUCUACUGUACGUACAUCAGAGAGCUCCUACAGGACAAGAACCCAAUGAAUAUAAUGAAUGUAAACAAGCAAUUAAGAUUUCAAACUUUAAGAGAAUUGACACAGUAGAGAAACUUUAUGAGUUUACUGAGUGUAGAAAUGCCUUACACAAAAAGUUCCACUUUACCCAUUAUCAGAGAACUCACAUAGAAAUCUUGUGAAAGUAGUCAGUGUGGCAGAACCUUCAACAAAAAGUCUUAUCUCACAAAACAUCACAGGCUACACACAGGGGAGAAUCCCUAUGAAUGUAGUGAAUGUGGCAAAGCCUUUUAUAGUAAGGUACAUCUCACUAGACAUCAGAGAAUACACAUAGGGGAGAAGCCCUCUGAAUGUGCUGAGUGUGAGAAAACUUCCUGUGUGACAUCAACACUGAGUGUGCAUCAGAGAACACACAUGGGAGAAACCUUAUGAAUGUACUGAAUGUGGGACAAUCUUUAACCACAAGUCAACACUCACUGAACAUCAGAGAACACACACAGGAGAAACUAUGAAUGUACUAAAUGUAGGAUAACCUUUUUUGCAAAGUUAAAACUCAUUGGACAACAAAGAAUACACACUGGGGAAAAACCUUAUGAAUGUAUCAGAUGUGGGAAAACUUUCAGUGGUAAUUCAUGCCUCACAGUACAUCAGAGAAAACACACGGGGGAGAAACCCUAUGAAUGUACCGACUGAGAAAACCAGUAGCAAUUUAAAUCUCACACUACAUCAGAGAACAGAUACAAGAGAGAAACCCUAUGAAUGUACUGAAUGUGGGAAAACCUACACUCACAAAUCAAGUCUCAAUGAACAUUGUAGAAUAUAGGGCAAAAGCUCUGUGAAUGUAAUAAAUGUGACACAUCAUUGUGCCACAGUUCAGUCCUUACUAAAUGUCAGA